GAACUAGAGAUUGAAGCAGCCCAGGUAAUUUCCGGCAGUAGCAUGAGGCACUACCUCUUAAGUGAUUCUGUUUUUUAUUUGUUUAUAACACCAAAAUUGCUAGUAUUUACUGCUUUGCAUAAAUUCAGUCCUUUUUUUAAUACAAGAUGACAAACACCUGAAACCAAUCAAUCUAUCAUUUGCUUUAUGUCUAAGCCAAUCUGCUAGCUUCAAAUUAAUGAAUUUGACAAUGAAAAAAUUGACAGGAAAUAUAUGAUAAUUGUACACAUCAGAGCAACUAUUACUACUUUUUUAAUACAAGGUCUGCCAUUUGUUAUUUUCCUCUGGUGUUGAAUACUUGUCAUUUCUGAGUUUCCACCGGAAGAUCCUUGAGCAGUACUGAAUUGUGUUAGCCUUAUUGGUAGGGACUGCAGGUUAAUGUCAUAGAUGUGACAAUUAAGGUCUGCCAUUUGUUCUUUUCUAUGAAAUUGAUUAUUGAUUAAUUAGUACUCAAUUGCGCCAAACGGCCAACGAUGCGCUCUUCUUUGACCGGGUUGCUGUUGAUUUUACUUAUGGAACAUAGGAGAGGAUUUACAAUUUUUUCUCCCCAAAAAAUUCCCGAGUCCAGUCACCAGUGAUUGCUAACUUUAUAUUCAUGCCAUUCCAUACUAAGCGUUCCUUAUUUUGUGUCAUCUUGAAGAAUCUGGGUUUAAUAACAGAGAUUGCAAUAGCUCAUUGAGAUGUUGAUUUUUGCCAUAGUGGAUACCAUUUGAGGAAUAUG
rnacentral:misc_RNA from 1 species